GACGAACGCUGGCGGCGUGCUUAACACAUGCAAGUCGAACGGAAAGGCCCUGCUUGCAGGGUACUCGAGUGGCGAACGGGUGAGUAACACGUGGGUGAUCUGCCCUGCACUUCGGGAUAAGCCUGGGAAACUGGGUCUAAUACCGGAUAGGAGCCAUUUUUAGUGUGAUGGUUGGAAAGUUUUUUCGGUGUAGGAUGAGCUCGCGGCCUAUCAGCUUGUUGGUGGGGUAAUGGCCUACCAAGGCGGCGACGGGUAGCCGGCCUGAGAGGGUGGACGGCCAAAUUGGGACUGGGAUACGGCCCAGACUCCUACGGGAGGCAGCAGGGGGGAAUAUUGCACAAUGGGCGCAAGCCUGAUGCAGCGACGCCGCGGGGGGGAUGACGGCCUUCGGGUUGUAAACUCCUUUCGCUAGGGACGAAGCUUUUUGUGACGGUACCUAGAUAAGAAGCACCGGCUAACUACGUG
rnacentral:rRNA from 1 species